rnacentral:rRNA from 1 species
GAUGAACGCUGGCGGCGUGCCUAAUACAUGCAAGUCGAGCGAACGGACGAGAAGCUUGCUUCUCUGAUGUUAGCGGCGGACGGGUGAGUAACACGUGGAUACCCUACCUAUAAGACUGGGAUAACUUCGGGGAACCGGAUCUCAUACCGGAUAAUAUUUUGAACCGCAUGGUUCAAAAGUGAAAGACGGUCUUGCUGUCACUUAUACGUGUAUCCGCGCUGCAUUAGCUAGUUGGUAAGGUAACGGCUUACCAAGGCAACGAUGCAUAGCCGACCUGAGAGGAUGAUCGGCCACACUGGAACUGAGACACGGUCCAGACUCCUACGGGAGGCAGCAGUAGGGAAUCUUGCGCAAUGGGCGAAAGCCUGACGGAGCAACGCCGCGUGAGUGAUGAAGGUCUUCGGAUCGUAAAACUCUGUUAGUAGGGAAGAACAUAUGUGUAAGUAACUGUGCACAUCUUGACGUUACCUAAUCAGAAAGCCCCGGCUAACUACGUG